UUGUGUUCCCACCUCCCCCCCCAAACUCCCAUAUAUAUGGUCUUUUUGCUCUGCCCACAGGGACUGCUGGACUGGUGAGUGCAUUUGUCUUCAAGAGUGGGCGGCCAGCAUUCUGAACUGCUUCAAAUACUUGGAGAAGAAGUUUUCCGCAUUUUAUGUUAUCUUAGCUGGCAUACAGAGAUAUUUAUUCCUUUAUGAAACUGCACACGAAGAGAGAUCCAUGAGGCUGUAUCAUUCUUCUUUGAUACCAUGCAGACCACAGCAGCAUGCUGCUUCAACCAAGCUGGGACCAGCCAGGUCUGUGAAGGCUCCGCAGCAGCAGAUACAAGAAUGCUGUAUGUAAAAACAGUUGCUUCAGAAAUCAAGCAAAUGGAACUUCCAAAGUCGUGCUACAAAGGAAUUGUGAAAAGUGAUUUGAAAUAUGGGAGCUACUACUUGGACAAAUGGAGGCCAUACUUCAGAUGUGUUACACUACUGACAGAUGAGUGGAGAGUGCAGAAUGCCCGUUCUAUUACUAGCUUCACAGCAGAAUUUUCUAUUCUUGCCAUAGCUAAAAACAUUUGUAUCCAUGUGAAGCCAUCCGUGCUGGAGACAGGGAACCUGGAAUGCUACAACUUUGUCUAUGGCUUGAAUAGAGUAAUUCAGUCAGGUGAUAAAGAGUUUUAUGUUUCAUUCAUCUUAUCUUUGGUAAUUCCAUGUGUUAUUUCAAAAUUAAGUUUUAACUGCACUGAAAAUGGAGAUAAAUGGAAGAGUUUGUGCAGAACGUAAGCUCAUUUUAGCUUAAAUUCUCACCUUUUUAUUUUUUGAGGAAUCAUAACUUGAAGAGUCUUUUGAGUUCAUUAAAUGCAUUUUCCUCUAGUUCAUCUCAGUUCUUUAUUUCUUAAGGAAGAAGUAGUUCUGGAAGACUUCUCACUACUCAGAAAGUCAGUCAUUGUAGAAUAAAGAUUUUUUUUAUUCUACA
rnacentral:lncRNA from 1 species